GACAGAGGGUGCAAACGUUGCUCGGAAUUACUGGGCGUAAAGCGCGUGUAGGCGGUCACGCAAGUCGGGUGUGAAAGCCCAGGGCUCAACCCUGGAAGUGCACAUGAUACUACGUGGCUGGAGUACUGAAGAGGAGAGCGGAAUUCCCGGUGUAGAGGUGAAAUUCGUAGAUAUCGGGAGGAACACCAGUGGCGAAGGCGGCUCUCUGGGCAGAUACUGACGCUGAGACGCGAAAGCGUGGGUAGCAAACAGG
rnacentral:rRNA from 1 species